CACAGGGUUGAGGGCUAAUUCUGAUAUUUCUGUAUUGAAUUUCCCUUAAAAGGUCUUGGGGAUAAAAUAUAGCCUUGUAAAUUGUCCUCUGAAAGCCAAACUGAUGAAACUUAGAUAUAUUGAUUGGCCCUUUGGAGUUUCGGAGUAGUUUCAUCCAUCCAUACAAAAUACAUAAUAAAAAGUAUUUUCGACUAGUGUUAUCCUCUGGCUGUGGACAGGAAGGGAAUUCCAUCUUAUCAGGGAAUUACCUGAUAAUUGGAAGCUACCACUGUUACUGUCUUUCUCAUUUUACAGUGUUUUAUUUCCAUGACCCACAAGAAGAGGUUUAGCAGGUCUACGAUUUUUUUCAGGCUUCUUUGCAGUUGUGAACCCUUUUCAGUUUAUGGCAUAAUACCAAAUUUAUUCAGCAUGUGGUUGGUAGCCGCUCCUGACCUCACCAGUAAGAAAGACCAAAUGGUAUUUUGUUUAGUAGAGCAAGAGAUUUACUGGUAAGGAGUUUGUCAGCUCUCCAGCACCACCAUGUGGUUUAGAAGAGAUAAUUGCCCACAAUUGAUAUUUCUCAUAAAAAUGUAUUCAUCUGUGACAUCUGUUUAUUCAAAACAUUAAUACAUGGAUUAUUAUUAUUAUUAUUAAUGUGCUUAAGUAAAGAUUAAAACAUUCCUAAAAAGUUUUAUAAAGAGAUUCUGUUUCAUAGAAAGAGCAGGGGGGACCAUUGUUGUUGUUCCAUCGGUGUAUUGAAAUGUAUGUAGCAACAUUUGGCCAUUCUCGUUUUCUUUUAUUAUUAUUUUGUGGGGCAUUUUAUUCCUUGUUUAGAGUUGAUAGUAGAGACAUGAUGGGAAAUGAGGGGAGAGAGAAAUGGGGAAUGACAUGCAACAAGGUUCCCCAGAUGGAUGAAUGGUCAGCCACCAAGGCACCCCAGCCUUUCAUAUUUUCAAAUGAGGAUAUAUGCUAUUGUAAAAUUUUUAUUUUCUUUUUUUACGUCUGUCUUUAUAUCAGAAAAUUGAGCGUGUGGUGUUUGUUGGAAACUUCCUUCGCAUCAACACAGUGUCCACAAAACUGCUAGCCUAUGCCAUGGACUUCUGGUCUAAAGGACAAUUACGAGCCCUCUUCUUGGAACACGAGGGUUAUUUUGGAGCUGUUGGGGCGCUGAUGGAGCUGCUCAAGACAACAGAGGACCCCUAAAGGAAUUUCUGUCGUGACAUCAUCGACCCUUGACAAGAUGAUGUCAUCCACCCCUGAACGCUGUGAUGUCAUCAACUCUCGAUGCUGUGACGCCAUCUACUUUUGAGCCUGCUGAAAGGUCCUGUUCACAGAGGCCGUAAAGGAACACUAAGAGAGAGAGGCGCAGAAACUGAGAAAAGCCAUUUUAAUAAUUUAACACUUGUAAAUAAUGAUAACCUCUAACAUUCAUCUCCUAAAUUUCCCAAACAGAGUUCCCCUAUCAUAGAGGUUUUAAUAUUGUUAUCUUUUAAUUUAUGGUUUCCUGUAACCACCUGUGUUGAUUCCUGUAAUCAGUCCUGUGUCAGGAAGCACAGAGACACAGAGUACGUUGGUGUUUUUUUUUUUUGUUACUGUGUUUGUGUGAAUAGCUACUGUAGCAUUACGUCCUGGAGGCUGUGGUGCCCCGGGCGACUAUUUGUGCAACAGUUCUUUAAGAUAGGAUGUCAGCACAAGAAUGAAGUUACUCUUGAAUGAGUUAUUGGGCAUUUUUUUACCACCAGGGACUCAAAAUUCAUUUUCUGCGACCACAGAAACAUCAUUUGACAACCAAUACCUCCUGCCUUUAUCUGUCCAGGUGCAGUAGCUGAAGCUUUCUGUAAUGUUAACGUCUGGUUUGUCGCUGAGGCUGUAAAACCACCAAUCACAUCGUCACUUAGCUCCAAGCUGCAGCUGGACAGCCGUUGUGGCAGUAGCUAAGGGUUGGGAGGCAGUUUGUUGUCACCUGUCUGUUGCACAAAGAGUUGCCCACCAUGCUAUAGUCUUCUAAGGAGUGCACUGAAGCCAAAUCCUGUUGAGAUUUGUACGACACCUGCCUCCUUCAGCUCAGAUGAGAAGCAGAAAAACUUUUUUAAUUCUUUCUUUCUGUUGCUCCACUGCACAAGGCCUUUGCUUUUUGUUUGUUUCUCCACCGUCUGCCUACAUGUAAACAACAUUAACAACACCAUCUUGCCACGCAUGCAUACCUAACCUGCUGAGUUUAGUGUUAGAUGAUGGGACCAAGACAUUGUCUUCCUACAGCUGUUGAUUUCUGUUGACUAGCAUCACUACAACUACAGUUCUACAGUUUUUUUUUUUUCUUUUUUUUCUUUUUUUUCUUUUUUUUAAAUAUAUAUCUGUAGGGAAUUGAGUUUUCUUUUUCUCUUGCCCUUACCUGUCUCUCAGUGUCUAGCUCAAGGACACUUUUCCUCACCCCCUAGCUCCUCUGCCACCCUGCUGCCUUGUGUGGAUGUUUCAGUGUAUGCGUUUGGGCUGAGCUAAUGCCGGCUUUAAAGAUUAGAGAUUAAAUUUGCUCCAUUUGAAUCGUGACAUAAAAAUAGUUCGGCACCCCUGCUAUACAUGCAGAUGUGGAAGAACAGUGUAGACAAUGGGGAUAAAGGCGCUUGUAGCAUGUAAAAUACACUACUGCAGAUUUGCUAGCAGCGGAAUCAGUUCAACUACUUUAGAUUAGCGUGCUUUUACUGUCUAAUAGGUGAUUUGUUAAAGUGCUGCUGGGUAGAAGAUUCAUUACAAGAUAUGUUUUAGAAGUUGGCCAACAUUCUCCCGCUACAACCCUGAUAAUCACUUUUUACUCGCCUUAGACCAUUUCAGAUACUUUGUGCAUCAUUUCAACCAACCCCUAAACCUGGGGUAUGGAACAUGCACACAAGCAAGACCUUAAAAAAGCUCUAGACAAGGAAAUGGCUUCAUUUAUUUCUCAGAUACACAGUUGUUUGCAUGACUCUAAGAACAAUGAAGUUCUGUUUGUCCUAAUCUGAGUCCACACUAGCAUGCACCCUAGAAGACCCUACUUUUUGUUUCAUUGUGUAUUUACUGAAUACUUUCAAAUUAGGCCUGAGAUUGUAGGAUGGAAAAUCCUAUUGCUUGUCUGAAUUGACUGUAAUAAUGCUCUGAGCGGAAAACUUCUUUCUGACACUUUUUCAAUGAAUCUCUAAUCUGCAAUAAUUUGGGGGAAGUUGGAACUGUAAAUUACAUGCACACCUCAUCUUACAGGCAAGGUUCGCUUGUAAUUUAUUAUGCAUGACAAAGACAGCAGUGAGCUUUCUAGUCACUGACAGUGAAUUAUAGAAUUAUUAGAUCAUAGCUGUUGGAGAAACAUGUACCACAAAUGUAAAAUUUCCUGUAAUGUCAUGUUAAUGACCCUCCCCCCACCUUCCAGCCUGGACCUUUACAGCCUUUCAUCUCUGUUUGUCAAAGCAGCUGAGCUAUAAAGCUGGACACUCUAGUUUCCACUGUUCACUGCUUUACAGUGAUUUAGCACCACUGUCUACAUGCCUUCACCCUCCAGCAGAGAAACUGUGCUCCUUUCCUUUUUUGCAAUCACUCAUUGUGUAAUUCACCUCCAUUUCUUAGUUUUUGUACUCUAGACUAUUUGUUGUUAAAAUACCUCCAAACCAUCAUUACCAACACUUUUGGGUCUGUGAGUUAUCUGUGUUUCUGAGCCAGAUAUACAAGUGUUAGUUAGAAUUUCCUUGACAGGACCUUGGAGUUCUCAAAAUGUCACCACAGUAUAAUAACAAGGGGCAAACCCUUAUCAGCUAAUUGAAUGGUAUGCAAGUAUUCUGAACAUCUUAAUGACAAAAUCAAGUGAUUGCAGUUUUUUAAAUUAAUUUAUGAAAAGACACGCAUUUCAGUUGGAUUAUAGGCUACAUAGUUCUUAGGAAGUUGUGGAUAAAAACAUCAGUUUAAAUAACAACAACUCACAAUACACUAACAUUUAAAAUGUUUUGCUGAAAAAUUGGAUAUGCACAAUUUGAAAUAAUUAUGUUUGCAAAUUAAAGAUUGAACAGAAUCAAAAUAGAUGAACAGUGGGCAGUUCAUAACUCGUCAGGUACCAGAAUAAUCACAUUUUUACAGAGUGCAUCCUCUUUAGUCCAUGCAUACUAAAAGUUAAACACUACUAUUUCUCUACUAUGGAUACAGUGAGAGUAACAUGCUUCAUUAACUACCUAUUGGCUUCAAUAAUCCAAAUGCAAACACUUAUGCAAGUGUUGAGAGUAAAACUUUGUUGAAAUACUGUUUGAGUAGUAAUGUUUUGCAACCAAUUUCCUCUGAAAACAUUGAGUCACCAGUGUGUUCGACCCAGCUUGUUCUUCACCUGUGACGACACUGCAUAUGUUCUUUUGCGGGUGCUUUUUGUUUUUGCCUUGUUCCAACUCAUGUUUGGAUGAUAAUAGUGGCCUCGACCUGUCAGGUGCCGCUCUGCUCUAAAAUCAGGCUGGUGAUGGUUAUCUUGUGCCACCCCUUCUUUAAAUCUGAAAACCAACAAAACCGUUGCCUUCACUGUGUUUUUGCCUGGUUACACCAUGUCCGUGCCCUUCAGUUUGUGAUUUAAUUUCAGUUUCUUACCUGCUGAACUUCACCUCAGUGUUUUUGUAACAUUGGGUGUGCAGAUGGAUCUUAAUGUUCGGAGUUAUACUAUUGAUUUCUGUGUGUGUGUGUUUGUUUUUGCCAUUGUACUGUAACAGAUUCAGUGCAGUUAACAUCCACAUCCACAGUUUGAAUCAUCAGCAUUCACAACUCACCUGCUAGUCAGAAAUUUGUCUUAGUACAGAAAUAACAUAAUCUUCGACUAGCACUGCAACGGUUUUGGUAACAAUAUAUGAUUUUUUGGAAAACCACAACAUUCUUUAGGUAUCACAGAUCAUUAAUAAUGAGUCCUAGAAUUUGGAAAACUGGAGUUUUCUAACCUUGCUUUUCAUUAUGUUUUGGGGGCAAAAAGGUUUGGUUUGGGAACAUUUAUUUUUAGAAGGUAUGCCUUUUUAUUAUUUUUAUCCUGCUUUUUUUUUUGUGGACAGUAGUAAGUAAUAAUGUUAAUUUCUCUCACGUGAUUUGUAAGUCCUGAAUUUCUUUUAAUGGUUUGAUUGUUUUUGGUUGGCACAAAAGAACCAGUGUGAUUGUUCCUAGAAAUGUAAAUCCACGCUGUCAUCCCCUAUCAGGCUAAAGACCUAAUGUGAUUUGCAGCACUUAUGAAAGUGAUCUGACUGCUAGCUGUACCUUUUUAAACACAUGGCAUCACUGUCCUGCAGAACCUUUUACCUCAAAACAGAUGAACACCCAAGUAGAAGGUGCAUUUUAAAAUCUGCUGUUCAUCAUGUGGCACAGUCCUGGUGUCAGUGCUGCAUUUACUUGGAAAAAGAUCCAUCCAUGAGGACAUUUUUAAGAUGAUGCAUUGGUCUGCACAAUAUAGAUGACAUGUGUUUAAAAGAUUGUUUAAAUUGUACCUGUAUAUUUCCAGUGACCGUGUAAUUACAAGAUAUAAUUUUCAUACUCAACUAUUUUGAGUUUCUAAGCCAGAGAUACAGACUGUCAUGUGAAUAGCAUGAGUUCAUAUACUUGUAGUAUUUUUUGGACAUAACUAUUGUACUAAUAUUUACUGCUGCAUUUUCAGUGUUCUUGACUCCAAAAACUGAAAGAAUAAGACUAGCUGGAAUUAAGAUUCUUCACAUGAACUGUGUUUAUGUUUCCAGCAACAACACUCGUGAAUGCCACCAUUCAAAGCAGCAUCACAUCUUGCAUUGUAGUUGACAUUUUUGUCCUUUUAAAAAGUGUUUCACAUUUUCUCUAAUUACAGCGCAGACACAGUCUAAAGCGUGAAUUCAGUCGUUGAAGGAAAUUAAUUUUCAAGUAAUGAUUUUUCUGUUAUCAUGAUUCAACAAUGUCAACAAUAUCGCUGUUUGUCUGCUUUGAUAACAGUCUGAGCUGUGAUUUUAGAGUUUGGGAUUUGAAUCUCACUAACACUUUGUUUGGGGUUCAUUUCCCACUGGGACCAUCUGUACUCAUGUAUUACUCGCUACUGUAAGGAGCUUUGGCUGAAAGUGCCCACUGAACGGCAAAUGUUAUGUCAUCUGUAGUGAAAUCUAACCAACAGGCUAUGCAGUAUCUCACCCAUGGAUCUCUUUGUCCCUUUCAACACCCUCACCUCUUCUCUAAAGCUACAAGAGUUGAUUUGACUUGUUUGUAAAAGUUCUUAAAAAAUAUGCAACCCUGUUAGUUUUCCCCUCUUAGAAAUCCUGUUUGAAUCUUGACGGAGAGAGUUUCUCCUCCUGAUGUUUGUCCUGCUGAUUUAGUUGUUAACACUAUUUAAGGUGGAUGCUCGCAACAGGAUGUUUUAGGCCAAAUUAUGCACCAAAAUGAGCAUAACAAGCAUGUUUCCACAGUGUGCUCCGUGUGACCCAAUCAUGCUUAACAACCCUCAUCUCAUUAAAAAGAGUUCUCAUCUUGGUAUAAAACUCUAAAUACCCAAUUGCUGUCAAACCUCAUGUUGCCUAUUAGUAACAGUGACAUAAUGUUCCUUGUGACUUUUGCAUGUCCAGAGUUUUUCCACUCCAAUUUGCUAAACAUUUCAGGGUUUCCUCAGAGGUUCUUAAUCCGGUCAAACAUCCUGUUGCGUGAACACAUCCAGCCUUUAAACUGUCUUCUGAAAUGCUUGACUGGCAGGACAGACCUUUUCACCCUUGUGUAUUUGAUUGUACAGAGAUUUUGUAAAUAAUAUUAAUAUGAUAUAUUCUACACCAGCAAUCUGUCUGUUGAUAAAGUUGUUUCAGCUGUUCGGGGUCAGGCUUCCCAAACAUGACUCGGCACUUCAUUUACAAUCCCAACGCAGACAGAAGAUGUGACAAACCACUUUCCUUUGUAGCUUUAUCACCUUUACCAACGCCAUCAGAGCCGUGAUAAAUAGUAUUAGCAAAUACCAAGUCAGUUUUAACCUACUUGUGGUAUAGAAUUGAUUAUAUAUUUUUUUCUCACUAGGACUAGAUAUAUCUGUAGAUGUUUUUCUGUGAUUGUCUAAAAUCUGAUCUGGCAUUGAAUGUCUGUGUUUACAUGUGUUAACUUCUCCAAUUGGAACAGGGUUUUGUUGCAUGUAUUGUCACUUUAAUAUAGUUUUCUCAAUUCCAUCCAGGCCCAUUAUACUUAGAUUAAAAAAUAACCAUUUUAAAUAAGUUAUACUUACUCUAAAUGGUGAUGGUGAAGGGGAAAUGUGGUAUGUUAAAUUAGACAUUUCCUCUACACUUUUAAGUAUUUAACUGUCCAGGUGUCUGUUUUCUGUCUGCGGGAUUUCAGUGCCGGUUGUUCACAUCGGCUCCUCUGUGAUCUGGAUCUUCGUGUGAUAGUUUUGGGAAGCCCAGUGCUGGUUGUUGGCGUCAGAUCUGCUGCUGCUUUUAACUCCAGUUUGAAAAUAGAAAGGGUUAAAGAGAAAAAAAAAUUACGGCUUCCUGCCUUGUGCAAUGCCUAUGUACUGAAGUGAAGAGAUUUUUUUUUUUUUUUCUAAAAAGGAAUUAAACUAAAACUGGAUGAGAAA